AUUGAACGCUGGCGGCAGGCCUAACACAUGCAAGUCGAGCGGUAGCACAGAAGAGCUUGCUCUUUGGGUGACGAGCGGCGGACGGGUGAGUAAUGUCUGGGAAACUGCCUGAUGGAGGGGGAUAACUACUGGAAACGGUAGCUAAUACCGCAUAACCUCGCAAGAGCAAAGAGGGGGACCUUCGGGCCUCUCGCCAUCAGAUGUGCCCAGAUGGGAUUAGCUAGUAGGUGAGGUAAUGGCUCACCUAGGCGACGAUCCCUAGCUGGUCUGAGAGGAUGACCAGCCACACUGGAACUGAGACACGGUCCAGACUCCUACGGGAGGCAGCAGUGGGGAAUAUUGCACAAUGGGCGCAAGCCUGAUGCAGCCAUGCCGCGUGUGUGGAGAAGGCCUUCGGGUUGUAAAGCACUUUCAGCGGGGAGGAAGGCGGUAAGGUUAAUAACCUUAUCGAUUGACGUUACCCGCAGAAGAAGCACCGGCUAACUCCGUGCCAGCAGCCGCCGUAA
rnacentral:rRNA from 1 species